UGAGGAAUAUUGGACAAUGGGUGAGAGCCUGAUCCAGCCAUCCCGCGUGAAGGAUGACGGUCCUAUGGAUUGUAAACUUCUUUUGUACAGGGAUAAACCUACUCUCGUGAGGGUAGCUGAAGGUACUGUACGAAUAAGCACCGGCUAACUCCGUGCCAGCAGCCGCGGUAAUACGGAGGGUGCAAGCGUUAUCCGGAUUUAUUGGGUUUAAAGGGUCCGUAGGCGGACUUGUAAGUCAGUGGUGAAAUCUCAUAGCUUAACUAUGAAACUGCCAUUGAUACUGCAGGUCUUGAGUAAAUUUGAAGUGGCUGGAAUAAGUAGUGUAGCGGUGAAAUGCAUAGAUAUUACCUAGAACACCAAUUGCGAAGGCAGGUCACUAAGAUUUAACUGACGCUGAUGGACGAAAGCGUGGGGAGCGAACA
rnacentral:rRNA from 1 species